AUGCCCAAUUUGGUAGCACAUAUACUAAAACUGGAAUGAUACAGAGAAAAUUAGCAUGGUCUUCGAUCGAGGAUGACAUGCAAAUUUGUAAAAGGUUCUAUAGUUUU
ensembl:snRNA U6 U6 spliceosomal RNA